GGGAGCCUGAUUCAUCGCAAGGCCUUACUGUGUAAGGAAACAAAUGAAUGGUCUGAACACUAAGUGUAGGAAAGACUGAUGAGGCUGCAGU